AACCGCCCGGUGCGGACGCGCAUGCCGGGUGGUGUGGGAGGGGUGAAGCCCAGAGGCUUCCCCCAAUCCCGAU
rnacentral:misc_RNA from 1 species